rnacentral:rRNA from 1 species
UAAGCAUAUCAAUAAGCGGAGGAAAAGAAACCAACAGGGAUUGCCUCAGUAACGGCGAGUGAAGCGGCAAUAGCUCAAAUUUGAAAUCUGGCUCUUCUCAGGGCCCGAGUUGUAAUUUGUAGAGGAUGCUUCGGCGUUGGCUCUGGCCUAAGUUCCUUGGAACAGGAUGUCGCAGAGGGUGAGAAUCCCGUAUGUGGCCGCUGGCCUUCGCCAUGUGAAGCCCCUUCGACGAGUCGAGUUGUUUGGGAAUGCAGCUCUAAAUGGGAGGUAAAUUUCUUCUAAAGCUAAAUACCGGCCAGAGACCGAUAGCGCACAAGUAGAGUGAUCGAAAGAUGAAAAGCACUUUGGAAAGAGAGUCAAAAAGCACGUGAAAUUGUUGAAAGGGAAGCGCUUGCAGCCAGACUUGCCCACGGUCGCUCAUCCAGGCCUACGCCUGGUGCACUCUUCCGUGGGCAGGCCAGCAUCAGUUCGGGCGGUUGGAUAAAGGUCCCGGGAAUGUGGCUCCCUUCGGGGAGUGUUAUAGCCCGAGGCGUAAUGCAGCCAGCCUGGACUGAGGCCCGCGCUCUUGCUAGGAUGCUGGCAUAAUGGCCGCAAGCGGCCCGUCUUGAAACACGGACCAAGGAGUCUAACAUCUGUGCGAGUGUUUGGGUGUCAAGCCCAGGCGCGCAAUGAAAGUGAAUGGAGGUGGGAACCCUCUGGGUGCACCAUCGACCGAUCCUGAUGUCUUCAGAUGGAUUUGAGUAAGAGCAUAGCUGUUGGGACCCGAAAGAUGGUGAACUAUGCCUGAAUAGGGUGAAGCCAGAGGAAACUCUGGUGGAGGCUCGCAGCGGUUCUGACGUGCAAAUCGAUCGUCAAAUUUGGGCAUAGGGGCGAAAGACUAAUCGAAC